AUAUCACUAAGCGGAGGAAAAGAAAUUAACUAAGAUUGCCUCAGUAACGGCGAGUGAGGCGGCAAGAGCCCAAAAUGUAAAUCUUCACGCUGCGCGUGACGAAUUGUAAUCUAAAGAUGGUCCGCUCAACAGGUGGUGGCGCAGAAGUGCCUUCGAACGGGCCGCCAGAGAGGGUGCCAGCCCCGUAUGUGGUGCCACCGCCUAACGAGUGGGUGUUCAACGAGUCGGGUUGUUUUGUAUUGCAGCCCUAAGUGGGAGAUAGACUUCUUCUAAGGCUAAAUAUAUAUGGGAGACCGAUAGCGCACAAGUA
rnacentral:rRNA from 1 species